rnacentral:rRNA from 1 species
AGCUCCAAUAGCGUAUAUUAAAGUUGUUGCGGUUAAAAAGCUCGUAGUUGGAUCUCAGUUUAAGUUAAGUGGUCCACUUGCCGGUGGUUACUGCUUAACUUAAACAUUUUACAGACCUGAUUUGUGAUGCUCUUCACCGGGUGUCGCAGGCGAUCUGUACGUUUACUUUGAAAAAAUUAGAGUGCUUAAAGCAGGCGUAAAGCCGGAAUAAUCUUGCAUGGAAUAAUGGAAUAGGACCUUCAGUUCUAUUUAGUUGGUCUUCGGAACCUGAGGUAAUGAUUAAGAGGGACAGACGGGGGCAUUCGUAUUGCGGCGCUAGAGGUGAAAUUCUUGGACCGUCGCAAGACGAACUACAGCGAAAGCAUUUGCCAAGAAUGUUUUCAU